AGCUCACUGGUCGAGUCGGCCUGCGCGGAAGAUGUAACGGGGCUAAACCAUGCACCGAAGCUGCGGCAGCGACGCUUAUGCGUUGUUGGGUAGGGGAGCGUUCUGUAAGCCUGUGAAGGUGUACUGUGAGGUAUGCUGGAGGUAUCAGAAGUGCGAAUGCUGACAUAAGUAACGAUAAAGCGGGUGAAAAGCCCGCUCGCCGGAAGACCAAGGGUUCCUGUCCAACGUUAAUCGGGGCAGGGUGA
rnacentral:rRNA from 1 species